UUUGAAGUGAAGGAGAUUAAAGGGUGAGUUAAUGUUUUUUUUCCCCCUAAAUUUUAGCUAUUUUUGAGUUUUUUUAGGUAAAUACACAAAUAAUUAGAAAAUAAUAUCAAACUGUAAAUUAGUUGAUAAUACAUAAAAAUAAUGGAUAUGUUAAUAAUAUCAAAGAAUUUAAUGGAUAUAUUAAUGAUAUAUAAAAAUAAUGAACUUAAUGUCUUU
rnacentral:misc_RNA from 1 species